CCUGAGAAACCCAAAAGAUCGAAUGGGGAGAUUCAUCGUCAGCGAAUCCGGUACGUGUGCAGGUUCGUGAUGCCGGGGACCUCGGUCCCGCGGCACGCGUCCGCAUGGUUUCUAUAUGCUGGAUCUCGUCGGCGUGCACUUCUCCCCUAGUAGGACGUCGCGACCCGUUGGGUGUCGGUCUACGGCCCGGGUGGGAGCCUGUCGUGUGUCACGCUUAACGGCGUCGUCAUGCGGCAGACCCCCGGUUGUCCGACCGACUGCCCGGCGGUACUCGCACGGUAUCGGGCCGCAUUUUGAACUGCGUCCGGCCCGUCGCAAGCGGAGGCUAGUCGUGUCCGGGUGUACGUACCUUGCGGUUGUCACCGGGCCUCCUGGCCAGCUGUUGGUCGACGGUGCUCUCGGACUGGCUCUCUAUAUGAUACCGGUCGGCGACGCUACUGCUUUGGGUACUUUCAGGACCCGUCUUGAAACACGGACCAAGGAGUCUAACAUGUGCGCGAGUCAUUGGGACUUAUCAAGCCUAAAGGCGCAAUGAAAGUGAAGGUCGGCCUUGCGCCGACCGAGGGAGGAUGGGCCGCGUCACGAUGCGGUCCCGCACUCCCGGGGCGUCUCGUUCUCAUUGCGAGAAGAGGCGCACCCAGAGCGU
rnacentral:rRNA from 1 species